rnacentral:lncRNA from 1 species
CUGGGAUCCUUUCCAAACUUGAGAUACUCUGAUUAACGUCGCCAUUUUUUACAGAUGAGGAAACUUGGGCUUGGCAUGGUUAAAUGGCUUUGCACAGACCCUACAUCAGUGAAGUGGCAGAGAUGAGCCGAGGACCUAUGUUUGUCUCCUAGCCACAUCAAGACUUAAGAAUCAGUACCUCUCUUCCAUGAACUAUUGAGUACUAGAGUUGUGGACCCAGCUAACACCCCAGAGGGGUAUUGGGAGGACCAAAUAACUUCUUCGGAAAUAUUAAGGCAUCAUAUAAUCAUCAGUUUGGAAGUCUGUGGGACAUAGGAUCCAGGAAAAGGAAAAGAAGGAAGAAAAAGAGGAAGAUGAUGGUGGUGGUGAUAUCUCAAGAGACAAUCCUCACAGUGACUCUGCAGGAUGAGCACUAUAGAUAUUAUUCUUGACAUUCUCCAGAAAAGGAAGCUUAGACUCAAGUAAUUUAAAGAAUUUUCCCAUGGUUCCACAGCCAAAAGACACCAAAGGUAAGGUUCUAACCCAAGAUUCCUAACUCCAACUCUCACUCCCUUAGCAUUAUACCACACUGUUCAAUUGAAGGAAAUGGAAAGAAAGCAUUUGGCUAGUGUGGUGGUGGUGGUGAGGAGGGUGAUAGCUGACUUCAAAAAUCUGAAAGAUUUUCAUAUGUAAAUUGUUUUCUUUUCUUCAGAAAAUAGAAUUAGGAGCAAUGGAUGUACUCACUGAGAUGUAGACUUUGUUUGGCUUAGGAUAGCAUCCACUUUGGGUUACCUCCCCCAAAUUCAAAGCUCAAAGGUUUUCCGUAUGAUAACAAUCCACGAAGUUCCCAGGGUAUUUAGUGUGUCUACACUAAAACUCUAGCUUUCAAUCCCCCCCUCUCUCACCUUUGAC